UUAAGUUUGGGCAAAAGUAAUUGUGUUUUUUUUUUUUUGGCCAUUGAAAGUAAUUGCAAAAAUUGCAAUUACUUUUGCGCCAACCUAAUACA
rnacentral:miRNA from 1 species